UACGAAGGGUGCAAGCGUUACUCGGAAUUACUGGGCGUAAAGCGUGCGUAGGUGGUUUGUUAAGUCUGUUGUGAAAGCCCCGGGCUCAACCUGGGAAUGGCAAUGGAUACUGGCAGGCUAGAGUGCGGUAGAGGGUAGUGGAAUUCCCGGUGUAGCGGUGAAAUGCGUAGAGAUCGGGAGGGACACCAGUGGCGAAGGCGGCUACCUGGACCAGCACUGACACUGAGGCACGAAAGCGUGGGGAGCAAACAGG
rnacentral:rRNA from 1 species